GCUGGGCAUGGUGGCGCAUGCCUGUAAUCUCAGCUACUGGGGAGCCUGAGGCAGGAGAAUCGCUUGAACCUGGGAGGCUGAGGUUGCAGUGAGCUGAGAUCGUGCCACUACACUCCACCCCAGGUGACAGAGUGAGACUCUGCAUCCA
ensembl:misc_RNA Metazoa_SRP Metazoan signal recognition particle RNA